GGCAAAUGUUGACAAGAACUUGCCUAUCAACCACGGAAUAGAGACCAGCUUGAGACUCAAGAGACCUUCCACUCCGAUAUUCUUAACUGGCCUUCAGACUCCAUCAUCCAGUGAGUACAAGAGAGACUUCAGUCUGUCUCAGGUAAGAUUAUCUUUUGUUUUCUUCUAAGUAAGAGCAGUUUCGAGAUAAAGAUGAGAUUGAGUUUAUCCUCCAGUAACUCUGACCUGUUGCCUUGAGUACCACUGUCAGGUUCCCAGACGGUUUUUAUGUGUUCACUGGUUUGGGGUGCCUUUUCUGUGAUUGGGGUUCCUCUCUUGUGUUCCAGUGCUAGUGAUCCCUUUGGGUAGGGUCACAUAUCAGCUAUCCUGCACAUCAGAUAUUUACAUUAUGAUUCAUAACCAUAGCAAAAUGACAGUUAUGAGGCAGCAAUGAAAAUAAUUUUAUGGUUGGGGGUCGCCACAACAUGAAGAACUUAAGGGCCACAGAAAUAGGAAGGUUGAGAGCUGCUUUUUUAGAAGAAAGAGCUGAGGAAACAUUUGUGGACGAACUUGCCUCAGUACUGUCUGUGUCUCAAAUCUAUGCCUUCAGAGAACCUUGACGUCAUCGCAAAACUAUUGGUAGAACUGGUUUGUGCACAGUUCUUCAUACUUGUACCAGAAAUACACAUGAGA
rnacentral:lncRNA from 1 species